UACGUAGGGGGCAAGCGUUGUCCGGAUUUACUGGGCGUAAAGAGCGUGUAGGCGGCCACGCAGGUCCGUUGUGAAAACUGGAGGCUCAACCUUCAGACGUCGACGGAAACCGUGUGGCUAGAGUCCGGAAGAGGAGAGUGGAAUUCCUGGUGUAGCGGUGAAAUGCGCAGAUAUCAGGAAGAACACCAAUGGCGAAAGCAGCUUUCUGGGACGGUACUGACGCUGAGACGCGAAAGCGUGGGGAGCGAACAGG
rnacentral:rRNA from 1 species